rnacentral:rRNA from 1 species
UACGUAGGGUGCAAGCGUUAAUCGGAAUUACUGGGCGUAAAGGGUGCGUAGGCGGUUCGUUAAGUCCGCUGUGAAAUCCCACGGCUCACCCGUGGAACUGCUGGGCAUACUGGCGAUCUUGGGCCAACUAGGGGCAGCCGGAACAAGCGGUGGAGCGGUGAAAUGCGUAGAUAUCGCUUGGAACGCCGAAGGUGAAAACAGGCUGCUGGAGUUGCGCCGACGCUGAGACACGAAAGCCAGGGGAGCAAACGGG